UGUUAAUAAAGUAAAUACUGUACCCUUUUCUUCUUCUGGUGCAAGUGCGACUCUAUUGGAAAAGUAGGUCCUUAAACCCUAUGGAAAAAUUGUUGGAGUUAAAACAAGAGUCAACCUAGCUUUUGAAAGAUCGGAAGGAGAGAAAGUCUAGUUGGUUGACGGCGUCCUAGACCUCAGUAAGCAUUCUGCCAUGACUUUUAGGGGUGAUGUUCACCAAAAAUUGCAUAAUUCUGCCGCUAGGCGUGAUACAGUUUCCAAAGAUGGGUUUUCUUCAAGUGCCAAUGAUAAGAAAAUAAUGGGUAAUUAAUAUUUCUCAUGGUGGUUAGAAAAUUAGUAAUAUUUUAAAAAGAAUGGGAAGUCAAUUUAAAUCCACUAGCAAUUCCCGAGUUCCUUUAACUGAGUCUAUGGAGGUGGUAGCAAAUCUCCUGUCUUCUCAAGUGGUGAUUGAAUCAGAAAAAAGACCACAAGGAGUAGCAGCUUCGAAUAUGAAUUAAAGUUCUUCCCAUCGAAAAUAAGGGUUUGUCCAUUUUAUUUUUUAAUUUUAUUUAUGAAUUUUGUGAUUUUUUUCAUGGAAUUGUCACGGGUGCGCUAACGUUAAGUUUCCAAGAAUUUUUCGUGAAUAUAACAUGGAUUAUAAGCCAAAUAUUGUUAGCUUAUUAGAACCGAUAGUUAGUUGAGUAAAAGCUGAUACCAUUAUAGCAAAGCUGGGUUUUCAGUGCUCUCAUCAACUUGAAGAGAUUGGAUACCUAGGGGGUAUUUGGUUGGGAUGGAAAGCUUCCAUUCAGCUUGAGGUGGUUCAUAGUCAUCCUUAGUUCAUCUUGACACACAUGGUCUGUUUCUUUUACUCUACCGGUUCUUGUCUCUUUCGUAUAUGGGAGUUCUAAUCUGCAGAAAUAGAAAGAUCUUUGGAAGGAUUUGAGUAUAACGACUCCGUUAGGACCCAUUCCUUGGAUUGCUAUUGGAGAUUUCAAUGCUAUUUUAUUUCCUAACGAAGAAUUGGGGGGUAAUUCUAGUAGGAGAAGGUAUCCUUAGUUCGAUGAUUUUGUAGACAUGACUAAGCUACAAGAUUUAGGUUUCAGAGGCCCUUCUUUUACCUGGCACAGAUGAGGUCUUUUUGAGAGGUUGGAUCAUACGUUGGGUAAUGUUAAUUGGGUACGUAAAUUUUUGAUUUGUUUGGUUACUUAUCUUCCGAAGAUUAAGUUGGAUUAUAGACCUCUUCUCUUAUCUGUUAAUCCAAAGUUAAACUUACUUAAAGGAAGGCAUUUUCAGUUUUUGGCUAGGUUGGUUGAACAUCCCGAAUUUGAGAAUUUUGUGGGUGUUAAUUGGAAAUUUAGUGGGAAUAUGUCUGAUGCUUUGACCAAGUUUACUUUUAGACUUAAGGAUUAGAACAAAUUGAUUUAUAGUCACAUCAUCGCCCAUAAAAAAAAUUUGAUAAAUAAAUUAGAGGAUAUUCAGUGGCACAUGGAUUCUCAUGGUUCAAAUAAGUUAGCUCAAACCGAAUUGAGUAUUAGACAGGAGCUGAAAAAUGUGCUUUAUCAUGAAGAACCCAUUUGGAAACAAAAGUUGAGAUGCGAUUAGCUAAAGAUGGGUGAUCGUAACACAAAUUUUUUUCAUGCACGUACACUAUAAAAAAAUCAAGUCGUAUUACUGUUAUUUGUAACUUUAGUGGUGAUUGGAUUUAUGAUCCAAAGAUUAUUGAGUUAGAGGCAAACAAUUUUUUUCAAAAUUUGUAUGGGGAGGUCCUUGGGCCUAUGGGGAGUUUUCCUGCUAGUAGAUUCCCACUAUUGGUCUCUGUUGAUGUGGAUAUUUUGGGAAAAUCUGUCACGAAUGAUGAGAUUAAGAUUGCUCUUUUUGACAUGGCUCCACUUAAAGCAUUGGGCAGUGAUGGUUAUCACGCUUUUUUCUUUCAAAAGUAAUGGACCAAGGUUGGAGGGGCUGUCUGUACUUGGGUGAAAGUGAUUUUUAAUGGGGGGAACAUUGAUUAUGAUUUGAAUAAUACUUUGAUUGUCCUCAUACCUAAAGUCUCUAACUUGAAAAUUUUUACUCAAUUUCGCCCUAUAAAUCUUUGUUCUGUCCUCUAUAAACUGAUCAUGAAGGUAAUAGCUAACUGUUACAAAUGUGUUUUUCCUAAAAUUAUUGCAUAAGAACAAGUUGGAUUCAUUGCAGGAAGGAACAUCACAAAUAAUAUUAUCAUUGCGUAAGAGGUGGUUCAUUCUAUACGGAGUAACAACAAGAGGAAAUGGAUGGCGAUCAAGAUCGAAUUGGAGAAAGCCUAUGAUCGUGUCGGAUGGGACUUCAUUAAAGCUCUCUCCAGGCAACAGGUAUCUUAGACUAUCUUAGAAAUGUGAUUAUGUCUGCUAUCUCUAACUCCACGAUGCAAAUUUUAUGGAAUGGAGUUUCGUUGUCUAAAUUUAGGCCUGCUAGGGGUAUUCGUCAGGGUUGCUUGCUUUCUCCUUAUCUCUUUGUGCUUUGUUUGGAAUGGCUCAGUCAUUCUUUUAAAUCAGCUAUCUCUAAUGGUAUGUGGACCCCCAUCCGUUUGUCGCGUUCGUGACCAGCCCUCUCCAACCUAUUCUUUGCGAUUGAUUUAGUCAUUUUCAGCAAAGCAAAUUUGGAGCAUGGUAGGAUACUCAAUAAGAUGUUGGGGGAUUUCUGUGAAGUUUCUGGCCAUAAGAUUAAUGCUAGAAAAAUAAACAUCUUUUUCUCUAUAGGGGUGGAGGAGUCUAUGGCUUACUUGAUUAAUUCCACACAUGGAUUCCAAAGAGUGCAAAAUCUUGGGCAUUACCUAGGAGUUCCUAUUUUUCAUAAUAGAGUCACGAAUAGUACCAUUCAUUUUGUGAUUGAGAAAGUGCGUCGAAAGUUGUAGAGUUGGGAUGUUGGACAACUAUCUAUUGUCGGAUGGGUGACUUUAGCACAGUCAGUCCUUAUGUCCAUUCUUAGCUACUUCAUGUGGUCCAUGCUGAUUCAUAGAUCAAUCUAUGACGAGAUCGAGAGUUUGGUGAAAAUAUUCAUUUGGGGUUCCUUUGAGGGCAAAAAGAUGUCUUUAGUUGGGUAGGAUUUUAUCUGUUAACCCAAAGAGUGUGGUGGUCUUAGGAUUAGAAAAAUUCAAGGCCAAAAUAUAUCGUUCUUGCUAAAGAUUGGGUUUAAUAUAGUUUCAGAUAAGGAGACUUUAUAGGCCCAAGUAAUCAGGUCGAAGUAUCGGUUAAAUGAUAAUUUUUCAGAUUGUAUUGCAUGAACUACAAGCUCAUUUCUUUGGUAAUAGCUCUCAAAGUUUUGGCCAUUAUUACAAGAAAAUCUAAUUUGGUCUAUGGGAAAUGGUGACAGAUUUAGAUGCUAGACGGAUAAUUGGGUUCCGAGGGUAGGACCUUUGAUUCAACUUAUACCCGCCAAUGUCAAUAUUGAUUUUGAUUGUCUACUCAAUGAAAUGGUGAAUGAGAAAGGUUUGUCGAACCUAGAUCUAUUCAAAAUCUGGUUGUCGGAUGUUGAAGUACAACAUAUUAUGGGUAUCCCUCCUCUAUAUCCUUCUGAGGGGAAUGAUAGAGUUGGUGCCAUACCUCGACAGGGGUUUUCUCUAUCAAAAGUGCGUAUAAGAUUUUGACAGAAAAAUCUUGGAGAGUAGGGAAGUUGCCAGGUCCUCAAAGGGUUCAUUUUUUCUUAUGGACGAUUUUGAAACAAAGACUUCUUAGAAAUAUUGAAGGAGUUAUGCGGGGAUUAGUAGUUGAUUCCUCUUGUCCUUUUUACGGUCAUGCUCCAGAAGAUAUUUUACAAAUUCUUAGAGGCUACACAAGCAUUAAGGUAAUCUGGAGUCAGGUCAUCCAGGUAAGUCAUCGAACGAACUUUUUUUUUCGAAUAGUUUACAUGAUUAGAUCUAUUGUAAUGAGCAGGACACUACCAAGAUACACGAGGGAAGAGCCAACUGGUCGUGCCUCUUUGGCAUACUUGCUUGGCGUUUAUGGAAGAACCGUAACCUUUUUAUAUUUCAAGGAAGAUCCUGCAGUCCGGAGGAAAUAGUUAAAGUUUCGAGCAGCUGGGCCAAACAGUUUUUUUUUUUUACAUCAAUGCUGAUCGGAAUGGCUGCUGUGAGACUUACACUGGAGAGUCAGCAAGUGAGAAAUGGCUUUUGUUGAAUACAGACGGUGUUGUUCAAUUACAUUCUGAUAAUGCAACUGUUAGGGGAAUAGUGCGGGAUGAGACUAGAGAUUGAGUUUUUGGAUAUAAUAGAUAUUUAGAGAAAUGUUCAGUUUUUUAUGCAAUUGAGGAAAUCUAGAGGGGCUUAAACUCAUUCAACAUGGAGGUUACGAUAAGGUGUUAAUUCAAUCUGAUAGCUUAGAAGUUGUGAAAGCCAUACAAUGAGGUUUUUCUAUUUGUUCAAACUCAGCUUUGAUCAAAAGGAUAUAGAGCAUUUUGUCCCAAUAAGGUCAGUGGCAAUACAUCCCUAGAGAGCAAAAUCAGGUUGCAGACUACUUAGCUAAGUUGGCUUUGGUCAAGAAAGAGGAGUUACAAGUUUUUGAUUCUCCCCCUAUAGAGAGUUUAGCUUUUAUUUUUAUUGAUUUUGAUAAGAUAAGGGGUUUUGUUCCUCUUGAGAAUAUUUUUGUGUAAUUCAUACUAGUAAUUAUUUAUUUCACCAAAAAAUAUAUAUAGGUGAAUAAGAUAUGAAUAUCCAAAUAAAAAAUAAAAUAAUAUAAAAAAUUAUGAAAAUAUAUAAAAUUAAUUUAAUUUUAUUCUAUUAAGGGCGGUGCAAUGCUAGUUCUCAAUCCACUUUAAAAAUUUUAAAAUAUUUUAAAAAAGUUUAUAAUUGAACUUAACCAUUUAAAAUUUAAAAUUAUAUAUAUGCUAGCCAAAAUGUGAACGCAUGACUCUUUCAUUGACUAACCAGAUAAGCUUAGAUAUCUAAAAGAAAAAAAUGUUCAGUUUGCUAAAACAAUAUAUUAAUUGAAGUUAAUCUAAUUUACAAAUAAUAGAUAUGGCUGAUUUAAACACUUAACCCUAUUGAAUUAAUUUAAAUAGAGAAAUUAGACAUCUUAAGAAAUGAAAUUCAUUUAACAAUAAUUUAAUGCAUUUAUAUAUUUUAUCACGCCAUAAUUGUAUUUAAGCUAUUUUUAUUUCGUAUUAAAAAAAAUCGAUAUUUUUUAUGAUGAUUUUAUUCUAAAUUCUUAAUAAUUGCACAUAUUCUAUUUUGUAUGGAGUCUAGUUCCAUAUUUUCGUACUGUCUGAUAUUCUCAGCUUAAUAAUAUUUUAAUAUCAACAAUUGAGCGUAAAUUACGUCAAUAUUUAUAAUAAAUGAAAUUGGAAUAAAUUUAUCUUCGAAUGAUUACAUCAAAAAAUUCAAAUACAUAAAUUGGUAAAAUUAUACCAUUUAACAAUAAUUUGUUUUAUUGACUAUGUAUAAUUUUUUUAUUCACAAGGAGAAUUUUUAUGGUUUCAAUUAAAUUUAACAACAUUUAAAAAUGUUACGAAUAUUCUUAUUUUAGGCAGCCGCAUCUAAUGUGGCUGCAAUAUUAGACAAGGACAUGAAAUGUGGUCGGUAGCUAAAGCUAACUUCUGUUGUAGUGUCUUGUUCCCGAUCAUAGAAAGAUUGUAAGGAAAGCCGAGAAACCCAAUUGUUGCGGGCUUUUCGUCUUAAGCUUUUCAACUCUUGGUGGCUUUGGGACUUCAUGGCGAUGGAACUAACGAAGGAUUUCAACCGUUGGAUGGCGAGUUUCAGGGUGCUUUCCAACAUGUUAGCAAAGCAAACUCGAAACCAACCUGGUUCAAUGCAAUGACAUGAAGAACCAGGCGAAAUGUUUAUUUUAACAUGGUAAACAAUUUUCUGCCACAGCUCCAUUUCGGCUUCGAACGUGUUGGACUUCAAAAGGUGCCUCAUGUCGACCCAACAGAACAGCCCGGCAUUGCUGUCUAAACACCUAAUGCCGGCUUUUUCCAGGCCUGAAACCAGGUCCUUUUGUUGCUUUUGAAGCCUCUUGUGGUUCUCGGACAUGUAUUCUUUCGUGAACUUCUUGUCGAAUAACAUGGCAGAGAGUAGAUACUGUGUUUGAGAAGAAACGAGGCCGAAACUGGACAUUUUAAUGGCGGCGGAGACAACGACGGGAUCGUUGGAGUAAAUAGCACCAACUCGAAAACCAGGAAGACCCAAAUCUUUAGAAAGACUGUAUACAAUAUGAACUCUUUCCCAGACUUGAGUUUGAUCGAGAUUUCGACCUUUUAAAACUUCCAUUACACUUACGAAGGAUGGAGAGGUGAAAACAGUGCCGGCGUAAAUUUCGUCGCUGAUUAAAUGAAUUUGUUUGUCUUCAAUGAAGUUGAUGAGUAAAUACAAUUCGUCUCUCGCCAUUGUCGUCCCCAGUGGGUUAGAAGGGUUGGUGAUUAAAACCCCUUUCACUCUCAGCUUCCUUUUUUGAGCUUGUCGAUAAGCUUGUUCGAUGGCGGGUAAAGUGACUUUGAAGCCAUUAGAACUGGUACAAUGUAUGGGUACUAUUUCAACCCCAGUUCGCCACCUCAGAUCUCUAUCAAAACUAUUAAGGGGGGGAGAAAAUGAUGAAUGUAUGAGUAAAUUACGUAUGUUUUCAUGCAUGCAUAAAAUAAGGUAUAAAGAAAGCAAAAGAUAUACCCUGGGUAAUAUGGCGUAGGAAGAAGAAAAGCGUCGCCUUGAUCAGCGAGACAAAACAUAAGAGUUUCAUUGGCGGAGGUUGCACCAGCAGUGAGAACUACAUGAUUUGGGUCAAAACUUACUUUGUUUCCUCGGAUUUCACCCAUGAAAUCAACCAAUGCCUGUUCAUCAAAAUCAUCAAUAACCCAAAUAUUAUCUUCUAAUAUGUUUAUGGGAUAUUUUUUUUAAUUAGCUAAGCUUACCCUUUUGAAUGCAGGGAAGCCAUUAUAAUCUUGGAAAAGAGCAAGCUCUUUGAAUAUGGAUAUCCCAUCUCUCUUCAAACCCAGUGCAUCUGGGUUUUUCAUCAGCCAUGGUUCAAGA
rnacentral:lncRNA from 1 species